AUUGGAAUUUCUCUGAAACCCCAAGACAUAUAUCUACAACUUUCAUUAAGGCCACAAAGUCUAUUUUUUCCGUUUACCCCUUUGAAACUGAGCGACAGUACAAGACAGUAGUACUAUCCAGAAUUCCUGUUUUGAUAGUUUAGGCUGAUUUUCACUGAUUUCAUGUUUAGUUUCGACGUGCUGAAACUAUUGAACUUAAGUAGAUAUUUGAUUGUGUAUUUAAGGUAUAUAUGCUCUUGUACAAGCUAAGAGGAAUUGUUUGACGAAGUGGACUUUGGUUGGUCUAUGGCGUAGACGAUUUGAACUCCUCGAGUUGUGGUAGAACUUGUUGUGUGGUAAAACGCCAAGGUAUAUAUGCUCUUGUACAAGCUAAGAGGAAUUGUUUGACGAAGUGGACUUUGGUUGGUCUAUGGCGUAGACGAUUUGAACUCCUCGAGUUGUGGUAGAACUUGUUGUGUGGUAAAACGCCAAGGUAAUGUACGGGAAGAGAUUUGAAGAUGGCCAUUUGGAGUAGACUUUUUGGGAGCCUUAGUGAAGAUCACAUUUGCAUAUGCAUCUAGGUCAUUUAAAAUUUUGGGGACUUGUACAUGAUCCAUAUGUAACACUUAUGUAUGAAAUUUUGGAGGCUUGUUGGACACAAGACCAUAUGCUUGUAACUUGAACUUGGUGACUUGUUUUGCUAUUUUAGGGUGUGCUUCCAACCCAAGUCAUGCCAUGUACUGGGUUUACAUUUUGCCUUGUAAUUAUGUACAAAGGAAGAUACUAGUUUAUGUGAUAAUCGCAAGUUUGAGUUUCGUGUAUCUUAUGGACCCGCAGUGGUGUUGAUUUGAAA